AAUCCAGAUGCUGAUCAUUCGUGC
rnacentral:siRNA from 1 species